rnacentral:rRNA from 1 species
GACGAACGCUGGCGGCGUGCUUAACACAUGCAAGUCGAACGGAAAGGCCCUGCUUUUGUGGGGUGCUCGAGUGGCGAACGGGUGAGUAACACGUGAGUAACCUGCCCUUGACUUUGGGAUAACUUCAGGAAACUGGGGCUAAUACCGGAUAGGAGCUCCUGCUGCAUGGUGGGGGUUGGAAAGUUUCGGCGGUUGGGGAUGGACUCGCGGCUUAUCAGCUUGUUGGUGGGGUAGUGGCUUACCAAGGCUUUGACGGGUAGCCGGCCUGAGAGGGUGACCGGCCACAUUGGGACUGAGAUACGGCCCAGACUCCUACGGGAGGCAGCAGUGGGGAAUAUUGCACAAUGGGCGGAAGCCUGAUGCAGCAACGCCGCGUGCGGGAUGACGGCCUUCGGGUUGUAAACCGCUUUCGCCUGUGACGAAGCGUGAGUGACGGUAAUGGGUAAAGAAGCACCGGCUAACUACGUGCCAGCAGCCGCGGUGAUACGUANGGUGCGAGCGUUGUCCGGAUUUAUGGGCGUAAAGGGCUCGUAGGUGGUUGAUCGCGUCGGAAGUGUAAUCUUGGGGCUUAACCCUGAGCGUGCUUUCGAUACGGGUUGACUUGAGGAAGGUAGGGGAGAAUGGAAUUCCUGGUGGAGCGGUGGAAUGCGCAGAUAUCAGGAGGAACACCAGUGGCGAAGGCGGUUCUCUGGGCCUUUCCUGACGCUGAGGAGCGAAAGCGUGGGGAGCGAACAGGCUUAGAUACCCUGGUAGUCCACGCUGUAAACGGUGGGUACUAGGUGUGGGGUCCAUUCCACGGGUUCCGUGCCGUAGCUAACGCUUUAAGUACCCCGCCUGGGGAGUACGGCCGCAAGGCUAAAACUCAAAGGAAUUGACGGGGCCCCGCACAAGCGGCGGAGCAUGCGGAUUAAUUCGAUGCAACGCGUAGAACCUUACCUGGGUUUGGCAUGGAUCGGGAGCGCUCAGAGAUGGGUGUGCCUCUUUUGGGGUCGGUUCACAGGUGGUGCAUGGCUGUCGUCAGCUCGUGUCGUGAGAUGUUGGGUUAAGUCCCGCAACGAGCGCAACCCUUGUUCACUGUUGCCAGCACGUUAUGGUGGGGACUCAGUGGAGACCGCCGGGGUCAACUCGGAGGAAGGUGGGGAUGACGUCAAGUCAUCAUGCCCCUUAUGUCCAGGGCUUCACGCAUGCUACAAUGGCUGGUACAGAGAGUGGCGAGCCUGUGAGGGUGAGCGAAUCUCGGAAAGCCGGUCUCAGUUCGGAUUGGGGUCUGCAACUCGACCUCAUGAAGUCGGAGUCGCUAGUAAUCGCAGAUCAGCAACGCUGCGGUGAAUACGUUCCCGGG